AGGCUGCAGUGGGGAAUAUUGGACAAUGGGGGAAACCCUGAUCCAGCAAUACCAUGUGUGUGAAGAAGGCCUUAGGGUUGUAAAGCACUUUAGUUGGGGAGGAAGUUCUAGCAAGUUAAUAGCUGGUUAAAUUGACGUUACCCAAAGAAUAAGCACCGGCUAACUCCGUGCCAGCAGCCGCGGUAAUACGGGGGGUGCGAGCGUUAAUCGGAAUUACUGGGCGUAAAGGGUCUGUAGGUGGUUUGUUAAGUCAGAUGUGAAAGCCCAGGGCUCAACCUUGGAACUGCAUUUGAUACUGGCAGACUAGAGUAUGGUAGAGGAAUGGGGAAUUUCUGGUGUAGCGGUGAAAUGCGUAGAUAU
rnacentral:rRNA from 1 species